rnacentral:rRNA from 1 species
GAGUUUGAUCCUGGCUCAGGACGAACGCUGGCGGCGCGCCUAACACAUGCAAGUCGAACGAGAGAUGAGGAGCUUGCUCUUCAAAUCGAGUGGCGAACGGGUGAGUAACGCGUGAGGAACCUGCCUCAAAGAGGGGGACAACAGUUGGAAACGACUGCUAAUACCGCAUAAGCCCACGGUGCCGCAUGGCACAGAGGGAAAAGGAGCAAUCCGCUUUGGGAGGGGUUCGCGUCCCAUUAGGUAGUUGGUGAGGUAACGGCCCACCAAGCCGACGAUGGGUAGCCGAGCUGAGAGGCUGAUCGGCCACACUGGAACUGAGACACGGUCCAGACUCCUACGGGAGGCAGCAGUGGGGGAUAUUGCACAAUGGGGGAAACCCUGAUGCAGCGACGCCGCGUGGAGGAAGAAGGUUUUCGGAUUGUAAACUCCUGUCGUUAGGGACGAUAAUGACGGUACCUAACAAGAAAGCACCGGCUAACUACGUGCCAGCCGCCGCGGUAAUUC